UACGUAGGGUGCAAGCGUUGUCCGGAAUUAUUGGGCGUAAAGAGCUCGUAGGCGGUCUGUCGCGUCGGCUGUGAAAACUCGGGGCUCAACCCCGAGCCUGCAGUCGAUACGGGCAGACUAGAGUGCUGUAGGGGAGACUGGAAUUCCUGGUGUAGCGGUGAAAUGCGCAGAUAUCAGGAGGAACACCGGUGGCGAAGGCAGCCCCCUGGGCCGACACUGACGCUCAGGCACGAAAGCGUGGGGAGCAAACAGG
rnacentral:rRNA from 1 species